GGAGUAGCUCAAUUUUAGCUAUUUGACUUGGGCACUUACCGGUUAGACUUUCGAUUGGCUGGAUCUGGGAGAUGAUAGCAUUACACAUAGGACACGGAGCGGAUAUUCAAAAUUGAGCCUGGACUCAGUUGUCAUGAUUUAGCAUGAUUAGUGCUCGCCAAAUGAAAUCUCUCCCUCCCUUCAGGGAUAUUCGCGGAUCAUUCAGGGAAUCGCCCCUCUUCCCUAGGUCAUAAUAUUCUUAGGACCGACCAGGAACCAGUUCAUACCCGGGGUGCCCGUUCUAAACCCGCCCCCUUUCAUCCACAACCCACACACCUGUGCACCAAAGGGACGGCGGGUGGAUAACGCACGCCGUCUCGCUUUAACAAGCUCAAAAGUCUAUUUUGAAUGUCAUUUAUUCGGGCUAGCCCCGAUGUAACUUAAACAUAACAACUUUCAACAACGGAUCUCUUGGCUCUCGCAUCGAUGAAGAACGCAGCGAAAUGCGAUAAGUAAUGUGAAUUGCAGAAUUCAGUGAAUCAUCGAAUCUUUGAACGCACCUUGCGCCCAUUGGUAUUCCGAUGGGCAUGCCUGUUUGAGUGUCUUGAAAUCAUCAAGCCCGUUCGGUUUCACCGCCGAGCGGGGUUGGACUUGGGGGCUUGCCGCUUCGCCGCGGCUCCCCUUAAAUGCAUCGGUUUCGGGUCUCUGUGGGAGUCACCCCUUGGGCGUUGUAUAACCCUCGCUGUCUGGGAACUCCACGCGACGUCCGCGUCGUUGAAGGGCCUUGAAGAAACCUCGACCUGCUGUAGAGUGGCGGUCAAUGUUAAAUCGAGAUCUGACCUCAAAUCAGGUAGGACUACCCGCUGAACUUAAGCAUAUCAAUAAGCGGAGGA
rnacentral:rRNA from 1 species